GUACACUCCUGCGGGAGGCAGCAGUGGGGAAUUUUGGACAAUGGGCGAAAGCUUGAUCCAGCCAUGCCGCGUGCAGGAUGAAGGCCUUCGGGUUGUAAACUGCUUUUGUACGGAACGAAACGGCCUUUUCUAAUAAAGAGGGCUAAUGACGGUACCGUAAGAAUAAGCACCGGCUAACUACGUGCCAGCAGCCGCGGUAAUACGUAGGGUGCAAGCGUUAAUCGGAAUUACUGGGCGUAAAGCGUGCGCAGGCGGUUAUGUAAGACAGUUGUGAAAUCCCCGGGCUCAACCUGGGAACUGCAUCUGUGACUGCAUAGCUAGAGUACGGUGGAGGGGGAUGGAAUUCCGCGUGUAGCAGUGAAAUGCGUAGAUAUGCGGAGGAACACCGAUGGCGAAGGCAAUCCCCUGGACCGGUACUGACGCUCAUGCACGAAAGCGUGGGGAGCAAACAGGAUUAGAAACCCUGGUAGUCCCAUGA
rnacentral:rRNA from 1 species